rnacentral:rRNA from 1 species
GACGAACGCUGGCGGCGUGCUUAACACAUGCAAGUCGAACGGAAAGGCCUGCUUUCCCUUGUGGAUUGCGGGUACUCGAGUGGCGAACGGGUGAGUAACACGUGAGUGAUCUGCCCCCAACUUGGGUAUAAGCCUGGGAAACUGGGUCUAAUUCCCGAUAGGACUGCAGGGUGGUGCCUGUGGUGGAAAACGAUUUUCUAGUGGUUGGGGAUGAGCUCGCGGCCUAUCAGCUUGUUGGUGGGGUAAUGGCCUACCAAGGCGGCGACGGGUAGCCGGCCUGAGAGGGUGGACGGCGACAUUGGGACUGGGAUACGGCCCAGACGCCUACGGGAGGCAGCAGUGGGGAAUAAUGCACAAUGGGCGGAAGCCUGAUGCAGCGACGCCGCGUGGGGGAUGACGGCCUUCGGGUUGUAAACUCCUUUCGACCGAGAGGAAGCCACCUGGUUGGAAGGGUGGUGACGGUAGUGGUAGAAGAAGCACCGGCUAACUACGUG